GACGAACGCUGGCGGCGUGCUUAACACAUGCAAGUCGAACGGAAAGGCCCUGCUUUUGUGGGGUGCUCGAGUGGCGAACGGGUGAGUAACACGUGAGUAACCUGCCCUUGACUUUGGGAUAACUUCAGGAAACUGGGGCUAAUACCGGAUAGGAGCUCCUGCUGCAUGGUGGGGGUUGGAAAGUUUCGGCGGUUGGGGAUGGACUCGCGGCUUAUCAGCUUGUUGGUGGGGUAGUGGCUUACCAAGGCUUUGACGGGUAGCCGGCCUGAGAGGGUGACCGGCCACAUGGGGACUGAGAUACGGCCCAGACUCCUACGGGAGGCAGCAGGGGGGAAUAUGGCACAAGGGGCGGAAGCCUGAGGCAGAAACGCCGCGUGCGGGAUGACGGCUUGCGGGUUGAAAACCGCUUUCGCCUGUGACGAAGCGGGAGUGACGGUAAUGGAUAAAGAAGCACCGGCUAACUACGUG
rnacentral:rRNA from 1 species